GACGGGGGGGGCAAGUGUUCUUCGGAAUGACUGGGCGUAAAGGGCACGUAGGCGGUGAAUCGGGUUGAAAGUGAAAGUCGCCAAAAACUGGCGGAAUGCUCUCGAAACCAAUUCACUUGGGUGAGACAGAGGAGAGUGGAAUUUCGUGUGUAGGGGUGAAAUCCGCAAAUCUACGAAGGAAGGCCAAAAGCGAAGGCGGCUCUCUGGGACGGUACUGACGCUGAGACGCGAAAGCGUGGGGAGCAAACAGG
rnacentral:rRNA from 1 species